rnacentral:lncRNA from 1 species
UCAUUUCUUGUUAUUUUAUUUUUUGUUGUGAGGAGAAAAACCUACCUAUGAAUCUGGAGGUGACAGAAUAACCAGUAUCUGGCCUUGGGGAUGAAGGGAUUUUUGCAUACAAGCCUGCCUAAGGACUAGACAGUGUCAAAUGUACCUUCUAUAGAAACCUGUGGUGUAGCAACACCAGAACGAAGGGCUGGGCUCCUGAUUCCUCUCACAGCAUGGAAGAAAUAAGAUUUUUAAUUGGAUUCAAUGAUGGCCUCACCAGAGCCUUGUCACUAGCUUUAUAAGGAGAUAGUUCUUAAGCGACAUCAGUCAAGCAGGCUAGAGGGCAUCCUAACCCAUCAUUAACUCAAAUCUUGAUGACUGGCUAGAAGAAGCACUCCUGAGACAUCAAUAGAAUAGAAAAACAAUGCUGCCUGCACAGACAGCUAUAAUGUCAGACAUUCCGUUGACUUCUUUCUCAAUUUCCUUUUUAAUUCUGGAGUGGACGAGAGGACCCAAAUUUUCUCACUCUUGAUCCUCAUGCAAGAAAUAUAGCUUCUUUGAAAGUUACUUAGUUCUAGCAUGUGGAAAGGUCAAGUCGAUUAGAUCUUCAACAUAAACAUCCCUUACCAGCACUCUUAACCUGAAUGCUCUAUUUGAAAAGAAGAGAAUGAUUCAAUUAAGCACAGUGAAGAAUUUGUACUUAGUAGACUGUGUGUAAGAAGAGGAAUAAAUCAACCCAUAGACAAUGAUCAUGAGAAGGCAACAAACAUAAUGUCCUCUGAAUAGUCUUCUCCCUGAAUUUGAUAAGGCAUUCACAAAAUUCUACAGUGGGACACCAAAUAGGUGCUAUUGAGCGGUGAAGCCGGCUGGGCUUCUGGGUCAGGUGGGGACUUGGAGAAAUUUUCCGUCUAGCUAAAGGAUUGUAAAUGCACCAAUCAGUGCUCUGUGUCUACCUAAUCGGGUGGGUACUUGGAGAACUUUUCUGUCUAGCUAAAGGAUUGUAAAUGCACCAAUCAGUGCUCUGUGUCUAGCUAAAAGUUUAUAAACACACCAAUCAGCACUCUGUAAAAUGGACCAAUCAGUGCUCUGUAAAAUGGAUCAAUCAGCAGGAUGUGGGAGGGGCCAAAUAAGGGAAUAAAAGCUGGCCACCCAGGCCAGCAGUGGCAACCUGCUCAGGUCCUCUUCCAUACUGUGGAAGCUUUGUACUUUUGCUCUUCACAAUAAAUCUUGCUGCUGGUCACUCUUUCGGUCCACACUACCUUUAUGAGCUAUAACACUCACUGCCAAGGUCUGGGGCUUCCCUCCUGAAGUCAGUGAGACCGCAAACCCACCGGGAGGAACAAACAACUCCAGACGUGCCACCUAAGAGCUGUAACAGUCACUGCGAAGGUCUGCGGCUUCACUCCUCAAGUCAGGGAGACCAUGAACCCACCGGGAGGAACAAACAACUCGGACGCGCCACCUUUAAGAGCUGUAACACUCACUGAGAGUGUCUGCGGCUUCACUCCUGAAGUCAAGGCGAGACCACAAACCCACCGGAAGGAAGAAACUCCAGACACAUCUGGACAUCUGAAGAAACAAACUCUGGACACACCGUCUUUAAGAACUAACACUCACCGCGAGGGUCUGUGGCUUCAUUCUUGAAGUUAGCAAGACCAAGAACCCACCGGAAGGAACCAAUUCCGGACACACUAGGAGACCUCAGUCACUCAGGUGUUUAGAGCACUGCAGAGCUCAAAUCACACAGAUAAAUGAUGGUCUCUAGAUGAAUGGGCACACUUAAAGAGUUGCUUCCUUACUAUAUUUGAAAAUUUAAAGCACUAUGAGAGGGGAACAAAACCUGAAAUAGACAUUUCCCUUGCGAAAAUGAGACAGAAAAAUACAAAUUAUAUAUAUUUUCAAUAUAUAAUAAUACUGUCUUAUCUUUUAUGCUUGAAGAGGUAAAUGUGAAAGACAAACAGAAGUCUAAAAAAUUAUCUGAACUGAUAAGAAUUUUUAAGAAUCUAGACUCUAAAGCUGUGGCAGCAUUGGCAUCAAGAGAAAUAGAUGUACAUACCAUCUACUCUAUUAAAAUCUUGCUUGAAACUUUGCAUUUAAAGAAGGCUUGUGUCUUUUCCGUGGAAAAAUGGGAGUAGGGAUUGGACUGCCUAAAAUUCCUUCUAGCUUUACAUUGUUAUGUUAUGCUGUUUAUUCUUUAAUGAGGUAGGUACAUUUCUGUUCUGUGUCAUGUUUAUGUGCUAGUUUCCCAAAUGCAGUCUAAAGAUAUCUAUCAGAAAUUUCAUAGUUUUUGCCAUCAUUGUCAAAAGAUUAAAAGGCCAAUGAUAAGGCCAACAAUUGGCUUUUAGAAGCAAAUUCUUACAUUUUUUUCCCCC